rnacentral:rRNA from 1 species
UACGAGGGGGGCAAGCGUUGUUCGGAAUUAUUGGGCGUAAAGGGUGCGUAGGCGGUCUGACAAGUCUGAUGUGAAAAUCUAUGGGCUCAACCCAUAGUCUGCAUUGGAAACUGUCGGGCUUGAGUAUGGGGAGAGGUGAGUGGAAUUUCCGGUGUAGCGGUGAAAUGCGUAGAUAUCGGAAGGAACACCUGUGGCGAAAAGCGGCUCACUGGACCAUUCUGACGCUGAUGCACGAAAAGCUAGGGGGAGCAAACAGG